UGGGGAAUUUUGGACAAUGGGCGAAAGCCUGAUCCAGCAAUGCCGCGUGUGUGAAGAAGGCCUUCGGGUUGUAAAGCACUUUUGUCCGGAAAGAAAUCCUUGGCUCUAAUACAGUCGGGGGAUGACGGUACCGGAAGAAUAAGCACCGGGCUAACUACGUGCCAGCAGCCGCGGUAAUACGUAGGGUGCAAGCGUUAAUCGGAAUUACUGGGCGUAAAGCGUGCGCAGGCGGUUUGCUAAGACCGAUGUGAAAUCCCCGGGCUCAACCUGGGAACUGCAUUGGUGACUGGCAGGCUAGAGUAUGGCAGAGGGGGGUAGAAUUCCACGUGUAGCAGUGAAAUGCGUAGAGAUGUGGAGGAAUACCGAUGGCGAAGGCAGCCCCCUGGGCCAAUACUGACGCUCAUGCACGAAAGCGUGGGGAGCAAACAGGAUUNGAUACCCUGGUAGUCCACGCCCUAAACGAUGUC
rnacentral:rRNA from 1 species